ensembl:lncRNA
GUUUGGCGGUCGGAGCUGCUGAGCGUUCCUAAGUCCAGGUGAAAUCAGUGGGAGCAACAUGUGCUCAGCACCUCGGGAAGCUGCCAGCAGGCCUUUUGAGCAUUGCACUGCUCGCUCAUCGGUCUAUCUGCUCCCUGUGCCAUACAGCGAGACACCCGGCUCCUCGAACAUGCUCAGUAAAGAGAUUCUGUGUUCACCUGAAGAAGACAAUCUACAUAAGCAUGACUCUGGAGGAAGAAUAAACUAGAAAUCUAAGUGAGGAAUGAAGUAAAAAUCCAACCCUCGAUCUGAAGAAUCU